CUCAAGUUUUAUUUGCCUCAAUGCUUUUUAAUUUAAUUUGUACAGUAUGCUUCAAUUUUCAAUCUUCAUAAAUUAUAAUUGAUUAAUUGGCUUGGAUUUGAUAGUUAGAUAGUUCGGUGAAAAUAGAAUUAGUAUAAAAUCAUUUACAUUGUCUAAAUAGUAUGUUUGUAAAGUUAUUACUGUAUGAAUAUAUAUCAUCUAACACUAAGAAAUUUACUACCUCUGUCCACCAAAAUUUGUCCCAUUUUGUCAUUUACGUCCGUCCCCCAAAAUUUGUCUCAUUUCACUAUUAUCAUUUUUGGUAGUGAACCACAUAUUCCACUAACUUUUUCAACUCGCUUUUCAUUACAUUUUUUAAAAUCCGUGCCGAGUCAAAGUGGGACAAAUUUUGGUGGACAGAGUUGUUAUUGAUUGUAGUUAUGCAUCGAUACUUUUCCAAAAGACCAAGGAAUGAUUAAAAAAAAUGGAAAUGAAACCAUUCUUUGGCGAUUUCAGGACAUGGCGACUCGCCGGAAAUAGUUAUUAUCUAGUGUGUCGUAAAAGUUGAGCAGACAUUACAUGUAAAAUUAUAUAUUUUAAUAUGUCAAUCCAUGAGCACUAGCUGAGACGUAAUUAGUCUAGCGGGAUCGACUCAAUUUAUUGUUGGUUUGUUUUAUUAUUUUCGUUGUAAUUUCAUUCCACUUAUCGUUCUUAUUUUUUCGAUUGUAAUAGUUAAAUUACCGCCUAUACACAACUCAGGUAUUUUGUCCCAAUUUAUCUAACAUAGUGUACCUCCUAGAUUCUUAACAUCUUUCUUGUUUACAAGAUGAGAGCCGAGCCUGUUGGCUUCUCGCCGCCUUCCGUUGCAUGCUUGACUUUCGUGCUUCACGCUCCUAAAUUCUUGAAGCAAGGAAUUCUCAGUAUAAAUGGCUUCGCUUGUACGUGCAGGAUCUCUCCAAAUGGGGAUGUAAUUAGUCUUUCAAACGAUAUACCUUCUUGGAGGAAAGAUGAGCUUCCAUGUGUUGGAAAUAGAAUUUGGGUAUCUCAAGGAUGUUGGAAAGAGAAUUAUGGAUUCCCAACAUGUUGGAAAGAGGAGAUAGCAUUUAUAAUGUAGAGUUCCAAGUAUUCUUGUCCCUAGAUGCAUUUAUAUUUCUUGCCCUAUAAAUACCAAUGUACAUUGUAUCCUCAAAACACAAUUCAGUGAAUAAACAAUCUUCUCCAAUGUUCAAUAUCUGAUUA